AUGGGUAUUGUGGUCAGGCAUGCAAUCCGACGCGUGUUCUGUGACUCGUGCACUGGCCGCGCAGAGCAUUCCAGAGGCAGGCGCGCAGCGGCCCUUCUUCUUCUCUCCCGGUCUCUUCUAUUGUGGUAUCUCGGCGUAUAUAAUCUGUCGUUGUUUGUUUGCCGUGUUGCAGCUUUUUCGGUGGGCAUUGAGGCUGGUCGGGGUUUCUCCGGCGAGGUGCGGAGCCGGCGGCCUUUCUCUCAAGGUUCUCUCUCUCUCUCUCUCUUCCCCUGGGAUUUGCCCAUCGCCGCCGCCGACCAGCUCCGGCGGCGUCUUCCCCAGAUCCCUUCCUUCUGGUCGCGCUCAGUCACGGUCCGCAACCGCGGGCGACACGCUGCCGCUGGUGUUGCUGAACGUGUAUGACCUGACGAGUGACGCCCGUCAACGAUUAUCUCUACUGGCUCGGCUUCGGCGCCUUCCACUCCGGAAUCGAAUGUAUUGGACACCACCAUCCAUGGAAAUGAGUCGCUGAUGUCUCAGUGUUCAACUCUUCAUCUAUGUUUCUGGUCCUCCCCUCUACAUGGUUAAGAUUUGGGUGGCCGAGACACGGCCCCAAGCGCAGAAAGGUGGACGAAGUCUUCAUGGGUGCUCCCCUGUCUGAACUCCAUCCUACCGUUGGUGAUUGCUGGUUUAUAGGUCUACCUAGAGGUGUUGGAGCUGAAGAAUGAGGUCUAUUGUACUCAUCAUGGUCUGUGGAUAAUCUAUGGAUUGAGCUACUCUUCAGAAAUCAAACAUUCGCGACACACUCAGAGCAGGAGCGAGCUGAAGCCUUGAGGAAAAUUGAUGGUGUAGUAUUCCAUCGAUCGACAGGAUGGGCACGGGCACCCAUGGGGGUGUGUAUCGCCUGAAGAUAAAUAGCUACAUAAACUUACAAUAGUGUUGUUCGUCGAGGGUAGCGUUUGUCACUCCUACCUUUAGCUCUCAGUUAGUGAUGACGGAUGUUCACUUUGGUGAAUAUCUAGCAUGUAUCUUCAUGUCUAUUAUGUCGCAAAAUUCUUGUAACCUGAUUGAUUUUGUGAAAUUGGGAAGGAACCAAAUACAGGUCAGCUAUAACAAAAAUCCCAUGAUAUUGAUCCAAA